rnacentral:rRNA from 1 species
ACUAGUAACGGCGAGUGAAGCGGCAACAGCUCAAAUUUGAAAUCUGGCCCUCGGGUCCGAGUUGUAAUUUGUAGAGGAUGCUUUUGGUGAGGUGCCUUCCGAGUUCCCUGGAACGGGACGCCAUAGAGGGUGAGAGCCCCGUCUGGUUGGAUACCGAUCCUCUGUAAAGCUCCUUCGACGAGUCGAGUAGUUUGGGAAUGCUGCUCUAAAUGGGAGGUAUAUGUCUUCUAAAGCUAAAUAUUGGCCAGAGACCGAUAGCGCACAAGUAGAGUGAUCGAAAGAUGAAAAGCACUUUGAAAAGAGAGUUAAAAAGUACGUGAAAUUGUUGAAAGGGAAGCGCUUAUGACCAGACUUGGACUUGGUUGAUCAUCCUGGGUUCUCCCUGGUGCACUCUUCCAGUUCAGGCCAGCAUCAGUUCGCUGCGGGGGAUAAAAGCUUUGGGAAUGUGGCUCCCUCGGGAGUGUUAUAGCCCAUUGCAUAAUACCCUGCUCCGGACUGAGGUUCGCGCAUCUGCAAGGAUGCUGGCGUAAUGGUCAUCAGCGACCCGUCUUGAAACACGGACCAAGGAGUCGUCUUCGUAUGCGAGUGUUCGGGUGUUAAACCCCUACGCGUAAUGAAAGUGAACGCAGGUGAGAGCUUCGGCGCAUCAUCGACCGAUCCUGAUGUUCUCGGAUGGAUUUGAGUAAGAGCAUACGGGGCCGGACCCGAAAGAAGGUGAACUAUGCCUGUAUAGGGUGAAGCCAGAGGAAACUCUGGUGGAGGCUCGCAGCGGUUCUGACGUGCAAAUCGAUCGUCAAAUAUGGGCAUGGGGGCGAAAGACUAAUCGAACCUUCUAGUAGCUGGUUUCCGCCGAAGU